rnacentral:misc_RNA from 1 species
AAGUCGUAACAAGGUCUCCGUAGGUGAACCUGCGGAGGGAUCAUUACCGAGUGAGGGCCUCCGGGUCCGACCUCCAACCCUUUGUGAACACUAUCCCGUUGCUUCGGGGGGCGACCCUGCCGGGCGCCCCGGCAGGAGCCACCUUAAUCAACUGCAUCUUUGCGUCGGAGUUUACGAGUAAAUCGAAACAAAA